CAGCCGCCGCGGGAAUACGUAGGUGGCAAGCGUUGUCCGGAAUUAUUGGGCGUAAAGCGCGCGCAGGCGGAUCAGUUGGUCUGUCUUAAAAGUUCGGGGCUUAACCCCGUGAGGGGAUGGAAACUGCUGAUCUAGAGUAUCGGAGAGGAAAGUGGAAUUCCUAGUGCAGCGGCGAAAUGCGUAGAUAUUAGGAAGAACACCAGUGGCGAAGGCGACUUUCUGGACGAAAACUGACGCUGAGGCGCGAAAGCCAGGGGAGCGAACGGGAUUAGAGACCCGCGUAGUCCCUGUCUCUUAUACA
rnacentral:rRNA from 1 species